rnacentral:rRNA from 1 species
UGCAGAAUCCCGUGAACCAUCGAGUCUUUGAACGCAAGUUGCGCCCUAAGCCUUCGGGCCGAGGGCACGUCUGCCUGGGUGUCACGC